ACGCUCGACACCUACGGGGGGCAGCAGUGGGGAAUAUUGCACAAUGGGGGAAACCCUGAUGCAGCGACGCCGCGUGAGCGAAGAAGUAUUUCGGUAUGUAAAGCUCUAUCGGCAGGGAAGAAACUGACGGUACCUAACUAAGAAGCACCGGUUAAAUACGUACCAGCAGCCGCGGUAAUCUGAGCGGGCUGGCAAGGC
rnacentral:rRNA from 1 species